GAGGGUAUAGCUCAAUGGUAGAGUGCAUUCCUAGCAUGCACAAGGUCCUGGGUUCAAUCCCCAGUAUCCCCA
rnacentral:tRNA from 1 species